UCACCAGUGUCUGCCGUGUCCGGUGGGCUU
rnacentral:sRNA from 1 species